UUUGCUAUUCUGCCUGUCAGGAUAGACAUCUCAUUUUCCAAAUUGCGCUCUGAGUCUGUGGUCUUCAGGUGUCUUGGCUUGCAUGGAUAUGUCCCUCAGAGUGAGUGAUUGGCUUCCAGUUUAGAAGGUUGUGGAACCUUUUGGAGGACGAACCUCACCAGAGGAAGCUGGUUGCUCUGGCUCCCAAGAGCUGAAACUGGCGUGACUUGGGACUACCUCAGAGGGAACAGCUAGAAGACCUCACCCCUUCAAAGGAUAACUGAGUUCAACAUCCAGCCAAGGGAAUGCAUUUGGCAGCCUCUCUCAUCGAACAAGAGCUCAUCCAUUGGCUUGACUGGCAGGUGAGCGAGGCCCAGGGACGCUCCCAUCUCUGCUGUCCCCGUGCUGGGAUGCCAGGCAAGCAUUUGCCGGGGAUCUACACUCAGGUCCUGUGCAUGCUCCCUUAACGAUGUCAUACAUGAGGCAUCUCCUCG